ACCAAUAGAAUUACACAUCAUUCUAAUUAUAGCAAUAAUAAAUUUGUACUAAUCAUACCUACAAAUUUUGUUAUGCUAUGCUUUGUGAUGUAUUAACUUCAUUGUAAGUUAUUAUUUAAAGACAAUUUUACUAAAUAUUUAAAACAAUACUUGAAUUAUUUUCUAUAUACAUUUUCAUUAUGUGCUUUAACUGUAGCUGACCAGUUGAUGGAAGAUACUGCAGAGUUUGGCAGGGAAAUAACCCAAGACAGCAAAGCGGCUCUUUUGGCGCAUUUACCAAGAGGACUAACAUGGCCACAAAUUCAUGAGAUCAUGCAGGAGCCGUACAGUAUAACAGCAGUACAAGUUCUAUAAAAGAUCCACGACCUACUGAAGCCCAGCUAAUUUACAAAAAAGUUUUUAAAAACUGUAAUUUUAUCCCACCUGGGUACUUAUAAUUUACUAAGCUGCCUUCACAAGUUUUUGACUUGCAAUUAUAUUUUAAACUGUCACUUGGAAAGUAAUACAUGUACAUGCAUUAUGUUCUGAAUUUCUUUGAACAAUAAAAUUAUAUAAAAGUAUUUUAAUGAAAUUGAGCACCUAAAUUGCAUUAAAGUGAAAGUAGCUGAGAAAAAUAGUAUCCAUGUGCUCAUGGGCAGCUACAUAUAUUGUGACAAACAUGAAGUAGCUAAAAUAACUUAAAUUUUUCAUUUUGUUUCUUGUAUAUCGUUUGUACAGGGUUCGUGAAUUGUUACUGUAUAUUACUUGACUUGCUUGUAUUUUGUUACUUUGAAUACAUGUUGUUAAGGUUGCAUUAUACUUUUUAACUUUUAAAGUAGCGCCUGUUCUGUUAUGUAAGGGCCUGAUUUAUGAUAAUGGACCUAGAGGCUUUGUAAGCAUGUAUUAAACAACACUUGUUUGAUCUGAAUAAUUUGUUAAAUAAAUGUAACACAAUU